GUUUGUCAAAGUUUACAACGAGGGAUGCUUCCUCUAAUUCCCAUAACGCUGUAUCACUAAAGAACGAGACUGCAUUCGCACGUCAAGUAAAGAAAUUCUUAGCAACAUCAAACCAAUAAAAGAAUAAGCAGUUUCCCGUUCCCUCUUAUACAUAAUGACGUAGCUAGUUUAGUGAGAAUAAAAAGUUGUAUCAUUAGUUUUAAAGUAUGAAAACCAAUUUGACUAGCUAAUAAAACACCUGUUAGGUUAGUAGUAGACUUAACCUUUGCACCUCUAACAAAAAAUUAUGGUACAAAUAAAAUCAUUUAAAUAUUGAA